UUGGACAAUGGGCGCAAGCCUGAUCCAGCAAUGCCGCGUGAGUGAAGAAGGCCUUCGGGUUGUAAAGCUCUUUCAGUCGAGAAGAAAAAGCUGCAGUGAAUAACUGUAGUUCAUGACGGUAUCGACAGAAGAAGCACCGGCUAACUACGUGCCAGCAGCCGCGGUAAUAAGGGC
rnacentral:rRNA from 1 species